rnacentral:rRNA from 1 species
UGGAUGGAGGGUUUGAUCCUGGCUCAGGGUGAACGCUGGCGGCGUGCUUGACACAUGCAAGU